GAUGAACGCUAGCUACAGGCUUAACACAUGCAAGUCGAGGGGAAACGUUAAUGGAAGCUUGCUUCGGAUAGGCGUCGACCGGGGCACGGGUGCGCAACGGGUAUCCAACUAGCCCAGCACAUGGGGAUAACCUAGCGCAAGCAAGAAUAACACCCAAUGACGUCACUAGAAGGCAUCUGAAAGUGAUUAAAGAUUUAGCUGGGAGGGAUGGGGAUGCGUCUGAUUAGUUAGUUGGCGGGGUAACGGCCCACCAAGGCGACGAUGAGUAGGGGGUCUGAGAGGAAGGUCCCCCACAUUGGAACUGAGACACGGUCCAGACUCCUACGGGAGGCAGCAGUGAGGAAUAUUGGUCAAUGGGCGAGAGCCUGAACCAGCCAAGUAGCGUGCAGGAAGACGGCCCUAUGGGUUGUAAACUGCUUUUAUAAGGGAAUAAAGUGCAAGUCGUGACUUCUUUUGCAUGUACCUUAUGAAUAAGGACCGGCUAAUUCCGUGCCAGCCGCCGCAGUAA
rnacentral:rRNA from 1 species